CUAUUUUGUAGAUAAUGAAGCCACAAGAAAGGGAGAUCUUUUUUUUAGAUUCCCUAAAUGGCACUGACUUCCGUGAUGAAAGCCAAAUGGAAACAUUGAGCUCUUGGCCAACCUGUUCGGCAUUAUUCCACUGUUGGUGGUUCUGCAGUUCUGCAGUGUUCAAAAACAAGUUGCUCUGCUUGUGUCACCUGGACCCUGGAGAGAAUUCUGUGCAAACGACAUUCAAG